GAGUUUGAUCAUGGCUCAGAUUGAACGCUGGCGGCAUGCCUUACACAUGCAAGUCGAACGGCAGCAUGAUCUAGCUUGCUAGAUUGAUGGCGAGUGGCGAACGGGUGAGUAAUACAUCGGAACGUGCCCUGUAGUGGGGGAUAACUAGUCGAAAGAUUAGCUAAUACCGCAUACGACCUGAGGGUGAAAGUGGGGGACCGCAAGGCCUCAUGCUAUAGGAGCGGCCGAUGUCUGAUUAGCUAGUUGGUGGGGUAAAGGCCCACCAAGGCGACGAUCAGUAGCUGGUCUGAGAGGACGAUCAGCCACACUGGGACUGAGACACGGCCCAGACUCCUACGGGAGGCAGCAGUGGGGAAUUUUGGACAAUGGGCGAAAGCCUGAUCCAGCAAUGCCGCGUGUGUGAAGAAGGCCUCGGUU
rnacentral:rRNA from 1 species